AUUGAACGCUGGCGGCAGGCUUAACACAUGCAAGUCGAGCGGGGUGAUGGUGCUUGCACUAUCACUUAGCGGCGGACGGGUGAGUAAUGCUUAAGAAUCUGCCUAUUAGUGGGGGACAACAUCUCGAAAGGGAUGCUAAUACCGCAUACGUCCUACGGGAGAAAGCAGGGGAUCACUUGUGACCUUGCGCUAAUAGAUGAGCCUAAGUCGGAUUAGCUAGUUGGUGGGGUAAAGGCCUACCAAGGCGACGAUCUGUAGCGGGUCUGAGAGGAUGAUCCGCCACACUGGGACUGAGACACGGCCCAGACUCCUACGGGAGGCAGCAGUGGGGAAUAUUGGACAAUGGGGGAAACCCUGAUCCAGCCAUGCCGCGUGUGCGAAGAAGGCCUUAUGGUUGUAAAGCACUUUAAGCGAGGAGGAGGCUACUGAGACUAAUACUCUUGGAUAGUGGACGUUACUCGCAGAAUAAGCACCGGCUAACUCUGUGCCAGCCGCCGCAGUAA
rnacentral:rRNA from 1 species